CCCAUUUCAUAAAGCGAAGCGCGACGGAGCUAUGGCACGUGAGCGAAGAAGGUCUUCGGAUCGUAAAGCUCUGUUGUAUGGGAAGAACAAGCGCAGCAGUUACUGGCUGCCCCCUGACGGCUCCUUACUAGAAAGCCACGGCUUCUACGUGCCAGCAGCCGCGGUAAUGAAU
rnacentral:rRNA from 1 species